AUUGAACGCUGGCGGCAGGCCUAACACAUGCAAGUCGAGCGAGCGGCGGACGGGUGAGUAAUGUCUGGGAAACUGCCUGUUGGAGGGGGAUAACUCCUGGAAACGGUAGCUAAUACCGCAUACCCUCAGAUGUGCCCAGAUGGGAUUCGCUGGUAGGUGGGGUAACGGCUCACCUAGGCGACGAUCCCUAGCUGGUCUGAGAGGAUGACCAGCCACACUGGAACUGAGACACGGUCCAGACUCCUACGGGAGGCAGCAGUGGGGAAUAUUGCACAAUGGGCGCAAGCCUGAUGCAGCCAUGCCGCGUGUAUGAAGAAGGCCUUCGGGUUGUAAAGUACUUUCAGCGGGGAGGCGUUACCCGCAGAAGAAGCACCGGCUAACUCCGUGCCAGCAGCCGCGGUAAUAC
rnacentral:rRNA from 1 species